UACGUAGGGGGCGAGCGUUGUCCGGAAUUAUUGGGCGUAAAGGGUACGUAGGCGGUAAUCCAAGUCCGUUGUGAAAGAAUAGGGCUCAACCCUGUCAAGCAGUGGAAACUAGAUUACUUGAGUGAAGGAGAGGAAAGUGGAAUUCCUAGUGUAGCGGUGAAAUGCGUAGAUAUUAGGAGGAAUACCGGUGGCGAAGGCGACUUUCUGGACUUUAACUGACGCUGAGGUACGAAAGCGUGGGGAGCAAACAGG
rnacentral:rRNA from 1 species